UACGUAGGGUGCGAGCGUUAAUCGGAAUUACUGGGCGUAAAGAGUGCGUAGGCGGUUCUUUGUGCUCCGCUGUGAAAGCCCCGGGCUUAACCUGGGAAUGGCAGUGGAAACUAGAGAACUUGAAUCUGGCAGAGGGGGUGGAAUGCCACGGUGUAGCAGUGAAAUGCGUAGAUAUGUGGCGGAACACCGAUGGCGAAGGCGGCAUCCUGGACCGGCAUUGACGCUGAGGAGCGAAAGCCAGGGAGCAAACGGG
rnacentral:rRNA from 1 species